UGGGCUAUCGUCAAGCGGUAAGACACAAGAUUUUGAUUCUUGCAUGCGCUGGUUCGAAUCCAGCUAGCCCAG
rnacentral:tRNA from 1 species